AUGCAUGCAUGCAUACUAAAACUGAAAUGAUUCAGAGAAGAUUAGCAUGGCCCUGUGUAACAAUGACACACGAGUUCAUGAAGCAAUACAUAUUUUU
ensembl:snRNA U6 U6 spliceosomal RNA